GAUGAACGCUGGCGGCGUGCCUAAUACAUGCAAGUCGAGCGAACGGACGAGAAGCUUGCUUCUCUGAUGUUAGCGGCGGACGGGUGAGUAACACGUGGAUAACCUACCUAUAAGACUGGGAUAACUUCGGGAAACCGGAGCUAAUACCGGAUGAUAUUUUGAACCGCAUGGUUCAAAAGUGAAAGACGGUCUUGCUGUCACUUAUAGAUGGAUCCGCGCUGCAUUAGCUAGUUGGUAAGGUAACGGCUUACCAAGGCAACGAUGCAUAGCCGACCUGAGAGGGUGAUCGGCCACACUGGAACUGAGACACGGUCCAGACUCCUACGGGAGGCCGCAGUAGGGAAUCUUCCGCAAUGGGCGAAAGCCUGACGGAGCAACGCCGAGUGAGUGAUGAAGGUCUUCGGAUCGUAAAACUCUGUUAUUAGGGAAGAGCAUAUGUGUAAGUAACUGUGCACAUCUUGACGGUACCUAAUCAGAAAGCCACGGCUAACUACGUG
rnacentral:rRNA from 1 species